rnacentral:rRNA from 1 species
AACGGACGCUGGCGGCAGGCUUAACACAUGCAAGUCGAGCGCCCCGCAAGGGGUGCGGCAGACGGGUGAGUAACGCGUGGGAAUCUACCCAACCCUACGGAAUAACGCAUGGAAACGUGUGCUAAUACCGUAUACGCCCUACGGGGGAAAGAUUUAUCGGGGAUGGAUGAGCCCGCGUUGGAUUAGCUAGUUGGUGGGGUAAAGGCCUACCAAGGCGACGAUCCAUAGCUGGUCUGAGAGGAUGAUCAGACACAUUGGGACUGAGACACGGCCCAAACUCCUACGGGAGGCAGCAGUGGGGAAUAUUGGACAAUGGGCGCAAGCCUGAUCCAGCCAUGCCGCGUGAGUGAUGAAGGCCCUAGGGUUGUAAAGCUCUUUCACCGAUGAAGAUAAUGACGGUAGUCGGAGAAGAAGCCCCGGCUAACUUCGUGCCAGCCGCCGCGGUAA